AGUGAACGCUGGCGGCAGGCCUAACACAUGCAAGUCGAACGGCAGCACAGUAAGAGCUUGCUCUUACGGGUGGCGAGUGGCGGGCGGGUGAGACGUACAUCGGCAUCCAAUUUUUCGUGGGGGAUAUCGUAGGGCAACUUACGCUACUACCGCAUACGUCCUACGGGUGAAAGCAGGGGAUAUUCGCAGUUUGCGCGUUUCAAUGAGCCGAUGUCGGAUUAGCUAGUUGGCGAGGUAAAGGCCCACCAAGGCGACGAUCCGUAGCUGGUCUGAGAGGAUGAUCGGCCACACUGGAACUGAGACACGGUCCAGACUCCUACGGGAGGCAGCAGUGGGGAAUAUUGCACAAUGGGCGCAAGCCUGAUCCAGCCAUGCCGCGUGAGUGAAGAAGGCCUUCGGGUUGUAAAGCCCUUUUGUUGGGAAAGAAAAUCAGCAGGUUAAUACCCCGCUGUUCUGACGGUACCCAAAGAGUAAGCACCGGCUAACUUCGUG
rnacentral:rRNA from 1 species